GAUGAAGAACGCAGCGAAAUGCGAUACGUAAUGUGAAUUGCAGAAUUCAGUGAAUCAUCGAGUCUUUGAACGCACAUUGCGCCCCCUGGUAUUCCGGGGGGCAUGCCUGUCCGAGCGUCAUUGCUGCCCUCAAGCACGGCUUGUGUGUUGGGCCUCCGUCCUCCUCCCGGGGGACGGGCCCGAAAGGCAGCGGCGGCACCGCGUCCGGUCCUCGAGCGUAUGGGGCUUCGUCACCCGCUCUUGUAGGCCCGGCCGGCGCUUGCCGACACAUCAAUCUUUUUUCCAGGUUGACCUCGGAUCAGGUAGGGAUACCCGCUGAACUUAAGCAUACAAUAAGCGGAGGA
rnacentral:misc_RNA from 1 species